AUAAGAAGUCACUGUGAGGAAAUGAAAGGAAGCAUAAAGACGAACGGACGACGAUAAACUCCUAAUAAGAAAAGGGUGUUAAAAAAAUAGAGGAAGUGCUGAAGUGAAGGAAAAAGACAGACAAGAGCCGUGAGAGAAUGAGAGAGAAAAAGAAGCCAUGCAAAUCGAGCUGUUAUUAGGCAGAUAGGAUUUCCCACCUUUGUAAAUCUCUCUAUCCCAAAUAAACUGGGACGUACAUGGAGUAAAAGCUGCACAGUUGGAUAAAUAGUAUUGUUACUGUGGAAAAAAAAGUCUAAACAUUUUUAUUUAUUUUCUCAUUUUAUUUUAUUUAUUAUUUGCUUAUAAAAACUGAAAUGCUGAAUUUGGGUCAAAAUGCAAUACAAUCCACUUUGAAAUCAAACCUUCUCUGUUACGUUGCGUUUCUUUGUGAGGAAGUGACAAGUGACAAAAUUCACAGUAACUGUAGGCUUCAUCAGUGCAAAGUCACUACAACAGGGCAUCAGCAUUGGCAUGUAGACACCCUGCACAGUGCCAGAUUGGGAAGCAAUAGGUCUGCAAGGCCUCCUACCUCCCUGCCACCUGACCCUCAGGAACUAUGAUGCACACAGACCAGAUACACUGGUUGCAGAUUCCUGCACUGUAAGGACCAUGUUUCUUCUAGGCAGUGCAAGAUAUCCAUUUUGAACAAAGUAUUGAAUACAGGAAGCAAGCAUGAAGAAAUUCUGCUGAUUCUCCAAGACUGGAGUGCCGGCUAAUAUUGCACUCGUGACCCAGUAUCAUUGUAAAA